UAGGGAUGUCAGGGCUUGGAGCCCCCCCCAAGCCCCGGCUAACUUUAUCUGUAGGGGGGCA
rfam:Felis catus isolate Cinnamon breed Abyssinian chromosome D1, whole genome shotgun sequence.